GAUGAACGCUAGCGGCAGGCUUAAUACAUGCAAGUCGAGGGACAGCACAGGUAGCAAUACUGGGUGGUAACCGGCAAACGGGUGCGGAACACGUACACAACCUUCCUCUAAGUGGGGGAUAGCCCAGAGAAAUUUGGAUUAAUACCCCGUAAUAUAGUUGAAUGGCAUCAUUUGAUUAUUAUAGCUACGGCGCUUAAUGAUGGGUGUGCGGCUGAUUAGAUAGUUGGCGGGGUAACGGCCCACCAAGUCUACGAUCAGUAGCUGAUGUGAGAGCAUGGUCAGCCACACGGGCACUGAGACACGGGCCCGACUCCUACGGGAGGCAGCAGUAAGGAAUAUUGGUCAAUGGACGCAAGUCUGAACCAGCCAUGCCGCGUGAAGGAUUAAGGUCCUCUGGAUUGUAAACUUCUUUUAUUUGGGACGAAAAAGGGCCUUUCUAGGUCAACUGACGGUACCAGAUGAAUAAGCACCGGCUAACUCCGUGCCAGCCGCCGCGGUAAAAC
rnacentral:rRNA from 1 species